GUCUAAGGCCAUACCACCCUGAACGCGCCUGAUCUCGUCUGAUCUCAGAAGCUAAGCAGGGUUGGGUCUGGUUAGUACUUGGAUGGGAGAGAUGAAAAAGGGGACAAAAGAAAUACAAAUGAAAUCCAGAGUAUUACU
ensembl:rRNA 5S_rRNA 5S ribosomal RNA